AUUGAACGCUGGCGGCAUGCCUUACACAUGCAAGUCGAACGGCAGCACGGGUGCUUGCACCUGGUGGCGAGUGGCGAACGGGUGAGUAAUACAUCGGAACGUACCUUAUCGUGGGGGAUAACGCAGCGAAAGCUGUGCUAAUACCGCAUACGCCCUGAGGGGGAAAGCGGGGGAUCGCAAGACCUCGCGCGAUUAGAGCGGCCGAUGCCUGAUUAGCUUGUUGGUGGGGUAAAAGCCCACCAAGGCGACGAUCAGUAGCUGGUCUGAGAGGACGAUAAGCCACCCUGGGACGGGGACACGGCCCAGGCUCCUACGGGAGGCAGCAGUGGGGAAUUUUGGACAAUGGGGGAAACCCUGAUCCAGCAAUGCCGCGUGAGUGAAGAAGGCCUUCGGGUUGUAAAGCUCUUUUGUCAGGGAAGAAACACCGGCUCUAACACAGUCUGGGAAUGACGGUACCUGAAGAAUAAGCACCGGCUAACUACGUGCCAGCAGCCGCCGUAA
rnacentral:rRNA from 1 species